AGAAAUGAACAUUGUUUUGCUCAUUAGCAGUUGGUAGAUAAUGAUGUUAAAUCAUGUGACGUAAUUUGAUAUGCUAGUUCCCUUAGAUGGGAACACUAUCAUGCAUGUAUACAACUUUCCAGUGAAGCAAAUAAGAAGAGAAACCUUUGUUUGAGUUAAUGAAUUAAAAACUAUUUGAAAGUGGUGUGUAGAACAGUAUAAAUCAGAGAGAUGACAACCGAAGUUACAUAGUCACAACCUUUCGAAAACUUAAAAGAAUUAUUCGAUAACGUGGGUAAUUUGAAACCAUGACCGGAAAUUGAAUAACUACGAGAUUCAACUGAUUAUGUGUACAGUGGUUUAGAAAUAAGCGCAGAAAGAACGCAGUUAGAAAAAUUGGAUAGAGAAGUACAUCCUAAAACGUUGCUUCGUCAUGAUAUGAAAGGUGGCUGCCUAGAAGACAGGUAAUAGAAAUCGCUAUAUUUAUCAAUUCAUAUAUUAUACAUAAUAUACCCGUGAUUUUUCAGAUUUAUAUAUCGAUCAGAAUCUUAUGAUUCUUACCUAUUUUAUCACUGGAGUGUUAUUGACACGUUUGUGUAUUUUAGUCAUCAUUUCAUAAUUGCGCCACCUUUUGGAUGGAUUAAUGUAGCACAUAAUCAUGGUGUAAAAGUUCUUGGUACUGUAAUUACGGAAAGAGAGAAGGUACCUGGGAUGUAAUACUUGAAUCUCAGGAAGAAGUAAGAAGAUUUGCAGAUGCAUUAAUACUUGUUGCAAAAUUUUAUAAAUUCGAUUUUAUAAGUCUGGUUGUUAAAUAUUGAAAAUACCAUUAAAAAGAUUUCUUUUUAAACUGCGAUGGCAUUUACUUGAAUUAUAACUGGACGAAAUCAAAAUUGGAAAACGGUUUGGCACUUGCAAAAAAUCACAGCAGAGAUAUUCAUGAUAUUUAUGUAGGACUUGAUAUUUGGGGAAGAUGUUGUCCUGGUGGUGGUGGAUUUAAUUCAACAUAUGCUUUACAAAAAAUACGACACGAAGGACUUUCUGUCGCGCUUUUUGGUCCAGGUUGGACUCACGAAUUUUUCGUAUCUAAGACAUUCGAAGAAAUAGAAGAUCUAUUUUGGGCACAGUUGUUUCCUUAUUUAUAUGUUCAUGUACCUAUCUACGAAGAAGAAGUAUUCAAAACAUCAUUUUGCCGUGGCAGUGGUAGCUUGUAUUAUCGCUGUGGUCAGGUACAUUAAAUAUCUCACAUUAUUUUUAACAAACUGAAUUUAUCAUAAAAGAUAUAACUUAGAAAACACGAAGUUGGCACCCUGCUGGGGGUAGCCACCCACACGAUAUGUUUAUUUUUAUUUUAUUUUUUUUAUUACCGAUGAGAUAUAACACUUUACCAAAUGUCCUUCAGGACAAAUUGUAAAAACCAAAAUAAACCAUAUAUAUAUUUAUUCAUUUAUAUAUAAAAACUGAAUUUAUUACAUGAAUAUAUUAUAACUGAAAUGUACAUAUUUUAUGCAGGCACUAUAUGAAAAGGAUGGGAAAAGAUUUAAACACAAAUCAUUUUACAAUUUAUCCCUGCAAAAUCCACAAAUAUCAGUACCUAUACCGCACAUGAAAUUUACAUCAUCGCCUCAACUUCCAGAACCGAAAAGUGAAAACGAUCGAAAUGAGUGUUCAAAAGAACCGAUACAAUAUGUUUAUGAAACGAGGAAGAAUGUUAUUCGAGUAUUAAAAAAUGUUGUAAAUAUUGAAAAUAAAAUGCCAAUGCAUCGAACUGUCAGAAUUUGAUAUCUUUGUCCACGGGGAUAAGACCACUGAGACAACAGUAACAACAUAGAGAUCGUCCUCCAGACCAUAAAUAAUAAUAAUCUUUAAAAUUGCUACAGGACAAACACCGAAUCUUUCGCACCUUAGAUCGGCUGAAGAAGCGCUUCGGCACUCUAUGUUACUCUAUCCCAUCGGUCAUCGAACACGGCAAGGGAUAUAGAGCCAUAAAAAUGCUUAUCAGCAAGGCCUCUGACAGAUCCCGAGUUCUCUGCACUCAGAGAAUUAAAGAUUCCAAAACCACGUUUCCGCAAGUAAGACGAAUGCUAUACCUCUUGAUCGGCGCCCUCAAAUUUUCUUCGGACGAUUCUCACCGUCUUCCAUAGUUGAAUAACCUCCUC